rnacentral:lncRNA from 1 species
UUUUUUUUUUUUUUUUUUUGGUCUUUUUAGGGCCUCACCCGCAGCAUAUGGAAGUUCCCAGAUUAGGGGUCGAAUCAGAGCUGCAGCUGCCAGCCUACACCCCAGCUACCACAACACCAGAUCCGAACCGCAUCUGCAACCUACACCACAGCUUAUUGCAACACCGGAUCCUUAACCCAUUGAGUGGGGCCAGGGAUUAUCCUCAUGGAUACUAGUCGUUUUGUUAUCGCUGACCCGCAACGGGAACUCCUAUUCUAAUUAUUUUAAAGUAGCCACAUGUGGCUAGUGGUGACUGAACUGGAGGGCAAUGUCGCCCUUGAAAUUCCUGCAGCAUGUCAUGAUGGCUCUCUGCCACGGGCAUGACCCAUCCCCGCACAUAAAAAAACACCUGCCGAUCCCCAAAUAGGGUGUUUGUUUGUGCCUCUGGACUCCUACACAUGUUGCUCCUCUAGACUGGACUUAACACUCUUAGCCUGGCUGGCAGACUCUUCUUUAUCCCUUAAACCCACCCCAGGUGUCUCCUCUUCUCGGAAGUCUUCCCUGAUUUUCCUGCUCUCCUCCCCAUUCAUGACAGCCUCUGUACUGGCACGGCAGGUACGGAGGCUGUGCUCAUGGUACUGCAGUGGGUUAUGAGUCUGUCUUUUCCACAAUGGAAAGCAGUAGAUAGAGUGUGGUGGCAAGAGUGAACAAGGAAACAGCUGCCUAGUGUCAAAUCCUGGCUCCAACACUUAUUAGUAGCUUUAUAACCUCAGGUAAGCAAGUUACAGGACCUCUGCGCUCCAUGAACCAUCUGUAAAAAUCAAGGUUUUUUUGGGGUUUUUUUUCCCUCUCUUUUCUUUUCCGGCCGCACCUGCAGCAUAUGGAAGUUCCUGGGCCAGGGACUGAAUCCAAGCCACAGCUGAGACCUACAGCAAUUCCAGACGCAAGGCACCCUGUGUCACCUGCACGUGCAGCAAUUCCACAUCCUUAACCCACUACGCUGGGCCAGGGAUCAAACCUGUGCUACAGUAGAGACAAUGCUGGGUCCUUAACCCCCUGCACCACAGCAGGAACUCUGAAAAUCAAGUUACUAAUGGUAACUUCGUUGUGGUUUUUGCAACAACUAAAUGACCAAACACAGAUAAAACAUUACCAGGUUGCCUGGAAAGGAGCAAGGAAUUAAUAACACUGAGUGAGGCCUUGUGCAUUAUUUCUAAUUAAGUUAUCAGACUAUACAUCUUCAACAAGGUACUAGGUCUUUUUGCCUUUUUUCUUUUUAUAGCUACACCUGCAACAUACGGAAGUUCAGAGCUGCAGCUGCUGGCCGAUGCCACAGCCACAGCAAUUUGGGAUCCAGGCCAUUGUCUUUGAACUACACUGCAGCUUGUGCUAACUCCGAAUCCUUAACCCACUGAGCGAGGCCAGGGAUCGAACCCACAUCCUUUCGGACACUAUGUCAGGUUCUUAACCUGCUGAGCCACAGUGGAAACUCCCAGGAAUGUACUAGGUCUCAGCCAUCUCUGUAAGCCAGAGUCAGCAAAUGCACUCAGAGUCACAGUAUGCACUCAUGAAAGUGUAUUCACCCUCAACUGAGUUCUGAAUACACUCCAUAAUACUCAACAGCCUUGUUCUAAAUGUCAAACUCAAGAGACUAAAAAGAGAUCUUAGCAGAGGCAAGGGCAGAAGAAUGAGGUCUCAGAUCAAAGGUAUUUAUGGGGGCAUUUAUCUCCCUAUGUCCCACCAGACCCUCUCUCCAUGCCCAACCUGGCCAAAUCUUGACCAAAAUGUUCCUGAUGGAGCUAAGCCUUAUCCCGAAAGUUUGGGGAGCAGUAGCACAAAGCUCAAGUGCCAGGGUCGAACAUUAUUAUAAGGGCUAUGGAUCAGCAACUCUAAGCUCUGAAAACUCUGUUCCCACUACGUUCCCCUCAAAGUUCUAGUUCUUCCGUCCCCCUCUUUUCCUAAGUGGAUAUCUGGGUAAGUGUUGAGAGGGAACCUUCAAUUUACCAAAACAGUCCUACACACCUAGAUUCUAGUGGUUCUCCACCUGUGCCCCUGGACCUGAACGAGAGGGAUCUUUUGAGUCCCUCUGAGGCUCCCAGGUUUCACUGAAGGCAAAUAAAGAUUAGCAGCAGGUGCAACAAACGUUAAAAAUGAUUCGUGUUCAAUCUAUAGGCUUUUUAGCCCAUGUAGGGUCUCAAAGGGACUGCUCAGUCCCUGAUUUCAGUGGCUUCCUCCUGCUACAGGGCUCCCUGGCACAGGCCCUCAGCCAGGAGGUUAAAGGGGCAACAUCAGGGAGCAUGGGAUACACAGCAAGCGCAUCUCUAAUGGGGCUUUCUCCUUGGCUCCUUGUACACGCAGAAUGACGUCAGCUUCCACUUCAGGGUAAAGCAGCACCAGAAUGCAGGUGAUGGACCUUCCUGGAGGAUCCUGGGUAGGAGGUUUCAAGGAUAACCAGGUGCAUGACUGAGUAGUGCACGGAACAUCUAACGAGAGGUCUGGGCUGGGAAAUUUGUCUGCUGCUUGAAUUUGGAUGCAUCACCUUCCCUCUCUGGGCUUCAGUUUCCUUGUAUAUAAAAUUAGGGGGUGCUUUCCAUACUGUCUUUAUUUUUAAGGAGUAAAAAAGCCUUCAUUUGGCCCAAAUGAAAUCUUAUGGGAGAAACUCCAAGAUAUAAAACAUACAAGUGGAGCAGUAUAUCGGUAGCAUUUAUGAAGUCCCACCUACUUAAGCCUCUCUCCCUAUUUCAAGUUUCUUAGAUCUUUCUAAGAUCGAACCAAAUGGGAACAUUCUAGGAUGUUACUGAUGGUGGACCUUAUGACACCUCUUGAUAUGGCAUGGAUAAAAAAUGAUGAUUGAUGAUCUCCUUUUUAAAAAAUUAUUGUGAAAAAUGCCCCCCAAAAUUGAAAAAUGUUCAAAACAAGAAGGAAUCCCCUAUAUACUUAAGACUCAGCAUCAACAAUUACCAAGUCUUCUUUUGGCUCUAUCCCACCCAGUCUCUAGAUUAUUUUGAAGCAAAUCUCAAAUGUAUUACCCAUCUAGUUAAAAAUAUUUCAAUACGGUUAUCUAAAAGAUAAAGAUUUUGAAACACUACAAGUCAGUUUCAUGAUCACACUAAGAAAAAAAAAGGCAUUAAUUCUUCAACAUCAUCUGACAUCCAAGGUCACUGCUCCACGAUGCUUUUUCUCUUAUAAUUAAUUUAAUGAAGAACUGAGUCAUGUUUCUAUAGAGUUUCCCACUGCCUGGAUUUUCAUAAUCGCUUCUCUGUUUAUCAUUUAAUAAAAGUCCUGCCCUCUCUAUUUCUGAUGAUUUCAGAGUUAGAUCCAGGAUCCUGACUAUAUUCAAGUUCCAUAAGAAAGCACAUAACAUAUAGUUGUUUCACUUUUGUAUUGUUGGCAGCCUUUGAUGGCUACUUUGUAUAUCAGAUUUUUUUUUUAGCUUCUUAUGUAACUUCCAGAAUGUUUCAUACAUAAACACACAAGGUUUUGUUUUAAAUUUUUACCCAAAUUGCAUUAAACCCUGCUACAUGUGCAGCAUAUGGAAGUUUCCAGGCUAGGGGUUAAAUUGGAACUACAGCUGCCAGCCUACACCACAGCCACAGCAACAAGGGAUCAGAGCUACAUCUGUGACGUACACCACAACUUAUGGCAACGCCAGAUCCUUAACCCUCUGGGUGAGGCCAGGAAUCCUCAUGGAUACUAGUGCGGGUUUGUUUCCGCUAAGCCACAAGGGAUCUACCCUACUACUGUUCUGAAACCUUUUAUUUAACAAUGUGAGAUUAUUAAUUUUUUAAAAAUUGAAAUUCUGUAAGAUACGCUUCACAUAUUAAUAAAUAAUUUAAAUUUUGGCAUAUGUCCAGAAUAGUGCUUAUUCUAUUAUAUUCCAUAUAUAUAUAAAGCUAUGUGUGUGUAUAUACAAACACAUGUAUACACAUAUAUAUCCAUAGUGCUUUAUAUAUAAAGCAACUGAUNAAAGUUUUUUUUUUUUUUUUUUUUUUUUUUUUUGGCUUUUCAGGGUCACACCGCCAGCAUAUGAAGGUUCCCAGGCUAGGGGUCUAAUCAGAGCUAUAGCUACUGGCCUACACCACAGGCACAACAACUCGGGAUCUGAGCCAUGUCUGAGACCAACACCACAGCUCAUGGCAACACUGGAUCCUUAACCUGCUGAGUGAGGCCAGGGAUGGAACCUGUCACCUAAUGGUUCCCAGUUGGAUUCGUUUCCGGUGCACCACGAUGGGAACUCCAUGAUAAAUAGUUCUUGAAAUAAUAAGCAAAACUAGUAAUCCAGUGGAUUUCUAAGACGUAGUGGUAUACUCUCAAUUCACACAAGAGAUUAAUUAAUUCACACCAGAUGUACUGUGUGACACACCCAAAUCUUCUAAAAAUGUCCACUGGCUUCUCAGAUUAUACAUUAGGAAAAGCCAAGCAAAUCCUAUGCCUCACAUCACAUUUGGUCUUUUUUCUUUCAUUAACCAACUGCCUAAAACCCCGCAUGACUCCAUCUUUUACUGCCUUAACUCCCCCAUUCAUCAGUUUUCUCCUCCCCUAAAUAGCCUAAGCAUAAACCACAGCCCCCGAUCAAUAAUCAAACCAGUAAUUCCUGCCGCCCCCACUAAUGCUAACUGGCGGUUACAAAAUUAGCAGCUUGUUUCUAUGUAGCAGAAUCUAAAGGACCCAAAACGAUCAAUGUCACCGUUUCACUGCAUGACUUGGAACUUGCUGUGGCGAGAAGCAGCCACUCCCUACAGUCAAUUAAUCGUCUCACGGAAGAAGCCAGUGACAUGAGCAAUCAAAACUAAAUCAGGCAACAUAGUGGUUUUUUUUUUUUUUUAAGUCCUCUGUAGGCUUUCUUUUUUUUUUUACACUAGAAGGAUACUAAUGCUUGAAUCUGCCCUGAAAGCUGAGAGUAUAAACAGUGGGUGUUUAUCAAGAAAAGAUUAAUCAAAACUCUCCCACCCAGUCUAUCUCAGAUUCCCCAAUAUUUUUCAUUACAAACAUAUUUACAGCUAAAAUACAAAGUAUCUAUGAAGGGGAACAAGAUGGCGGCUAAGUGGUUUCAGAACUGGUUCAGAGGCUGGAGGAAGCAUUGGAAUAAGAAAGGGCAGGGCUUGAGAGUUUUCAGCCAGCAGUUCUAUUAUUUCUCCUUCCUACUCCUCAAGAGCCCCUGAAUCACUCAAAGGGAGAACCAUUCCCUCCAGGAUUAAGGAAGAGAAGGAAAGAGGCCCUUUAUAACCUGUCCCCAUGGCAGGAGCCCACCCCUGCCAGGUUCUGCCUCUGGUAGACAAGGGAAGAGGCAAACCCUGAAGCCACAUGGAGACAAGGGUGCCCGGUGCUCCUUACAUGCUGCCAGGCUUGGGUCUUUGUCCCAUGGUCUCACCGAAGGCGUGCCUGCCCAUGAUGGAUCCCCGGUUCUGAACAAACUGGUAUUCAACUGGCUACUUCGAGGAGGAUCCCCUGGGUCCAUCCAGAGGGACUUGGCUUCAGGUCCUCCGUCCACCCCUAACUAGGCUCGAGCAAAUACCUUAUCUCAGACACCAUUUCUGGUCUCCAAAUCAGAGGACUGUAUUCAUGACCUACUAAGGUUUCUACCAAGGAUUAAAAAGGCUAAUCACAUGAUUAAAGGCUGAUUCCUGGAGUUCCCCUGUGGCAUAGUGGGUUAAGGAUCCAGUGUCGCUGCUGUGGCUCAGGUUCGAUCCCUAGCCUGGGAAUGUUUGCAUGCUGUGGGUGCAGCCAAAUAAAAAGGUGGAUGCUAAUUCCUUUCUUCUCUACCUCACUCCACCCCUUUUCACUCACUCUGCACCAAUAACGACAUGGCCUUGGAGUUCCCACUGUGGCUUAGCAAUAACAAACCCAACUAGGAUCCAUGAGGAUGCAGGUUUGAUCCCUGGCCUUGCUCAGUGGGUUAAGGAUCCGGCAUUGCCAUGAGCUGUGGUGUAGGUCACAGACGCGGCUCACAUCCCACGUUACUGUGGUUGUAGCAGAGGCCAGCAGCCGUAGCUCCAAUUUGACCCCUAGCCUGGGAACCUCCAUAUGCUGCAGGUGUUGUCCUAAAAAAGUAAAUAAAUACUAUGGCCUUCAAACAGGGACCUCACCUCUUCUAACCUGCAUUUUUCCCUCUAAAAGAAGAUGGUACUAAAUAAACAAUAGCUUGGAUGUUCUAGGAUUAUCUCUAAGGACACAGGGAGCAAUCUUUUUUUUUUUUUUUUUUUUUUUUUUUAAUUUUCCCACUGUACAGCAAGGGGGUCAGGUACAGGGAGCAAUCUUAAGGCUUCAGAAUUUAAGGUCAGAAGGACCUAAUUCAAAUCUAGGAUAUAAAACCUAGGGACGGUGAGUGGGUAAUCCAGCCACUCUAUGCCUCAGUGUCCUCAUCUGCAAAAGGGGAUCAUAAUGGCUUGGUUGUAAGCACUAGAGCAACACGGCACAGGCUGGAUCCAGUCUGGUAUCCAGCACCAGAAGUGGGAGGUGGCGGUGGUGUCAUCAUCAUCAACUUCAGCAGCCUCACCAUCGUCAUCAUCACGUUCUGCAAUCCCACAGGACGAUCUCUUCCCCCCCUGUAAUUCAGGGAAGGCCCUCGAACCUUAUUCGCAAGGAUAAUCCGGUUAAUAGUUUCCAAUUUAAAUCCUUGCGCAGUUCAGGCUGACUCCGAGCGGAAGGGUAGGGUAAGCGGGUUCAAGGUGGCAGCAGGAUCC